AGUGAACGCUGGCGGUAGGCCUAACACAUGCAAGUCGAACGGCAGCACAGUAAGAGUUUGCUCUUACGGGUGGCGAGUGGCGGACGGGUGAGGAAUACAUCGGAAUCUACUUUUUCGUGGGGGAUAACGUAGGGAAACUUACGCUAAUACCGCAUACGACCUACGGGUGAAAGCAGGGGAUCUUCGGACCUCGCGCGAUUGAAUGAGCCGAUGUCGGAUUAGCUAGUUGGCGGGGUAAAGGCCCACCAAGGCGACGAUCCGUAGCUGGUCUGAGAGGAUGAUCAGCCACACUGGAACUGAGACACGGUCCAGACUCCUACGGGAGGCAGCAGUGGGGAAUAUUGGACAAUGGGCGCAAGCCUGAUCCAGCCAUACCGCGUGGGUGAAGAAGGCCUUCGGGUUGUAAAGCCCUUUUGUUGGGAAAGAAAAGCAGCAGGUUAAUACCCCGCUGUUCUGACGGUACCCAAAGAAUAAGCACCGGCUAACUUCGUG
rnacentral:rRNA from 1 species